UACCAGCACCCCGAGUGGUCGGGACGAUUAUUGGGCCUAAAGCAUCCGUAGCCGGUUUUACAAGUCCUCCGUUAAAUCCAGCUGCUUAACAGAUGGGCUGCGGAGGAUACUAUAAGACUAGGAGGCAGGAGAGGCAAGCGGUACUCAGUGGGUAGGGGUAAAAUCCGUUGAUCCAUUGAAGACCACCAGUGGCGAAGGCGGCUUGCCAGAAUGCGCUCGACGGUGAGGGAUGAAAGCUGGUGGAGCAAACCGG
rnacentral:rRNA from 1 species